GGCCUGAUGGUCUAGUAGUAUGAUUCCUUGUUACGGUGAUAUAACUAUCGAGGAGGUCCCGGGUUCAAUUCCCGGUCAGGCCC